GACGAACGCUGGCGGCGUGCUUAACACAUGCAAGUCGAACGGUGACACGCCUUCCUUUUUGGUGGGUGUGGAGGGGUGGCGGACGGGUGAGUAACACGUUAGUAACCUGCCCCCUUGUUCUGGAUAACCGAGUGAAAGUUUGGCUAAUACGGGAUAUUCUGGGUCUGUCGCAUGAUGGGUUUGGCGAAGCUAUCGCGUCUGUGUGGGACGGGCUCGCGGCCUAUCAGCUUGUUGGUGUGGGGAUGGCCUACCAAGGCGGUGACGGGUGGCCGGGAUGAGAGGGUGAGCGGCCACAGAGCGACGGCGACGCGGCGCCGACUACGGCGGGAGGCAGCGGGGAGGAUUAUUGCACGAGCGGAGCCAUCCUGCUGCAGCGCCGCCGCGGGGGGGAUGGAGGCCUGCUUGUUGUGACCCUCUGUCGGGAGUGAAGCAGACCUGCCUCGUUUGUGGGUGGGUUGACGGUAGCUGGAGAAGAAGCGCCGGCUAACUACGUG
rnacentral:rRNA from 1 species